rnacentral:tRNA from 1 species
GCCGGAGUGGUGGAACUGGUAGACGCGCCAGAUUCAAAAUUUGGUAUCCUCCGGGAUGUGAGGGUUCGAUUCCCUCCUCCGGCA